UGUUUCGCACAUUACAUAGUACCACACUACUUAACUAUAACGGGUAGCUCUCUGGCUUAUACCCUCGCAUGGGUUCCGGGUUAAGUCCUUGCAUGGUGUAUCGCACACACACUCUCGGAACUCCCCUACGUUCUCCCUUAUGGAUAGUUCUGACCGAUAUCUCAACACUCCCCCGCGGGCAGAACUCCAUACUCAAAUUACGUAUCGCAAUAGCAUCCUACCUCAAAUCAUGUGCUACAAACAAUCCCUGCAUACCUCGUACUCUUGCCGCUUGUAGUCACUGUGCUACUGCAAUCGUCCCAUGUCCUCGUGUCCUCAAGAUCACGUCUUUCUCUUUCUCACUGCAUCGUCCAUAAUCAGCUCAAAUCAAUACGGUCUUCUACCGCAAUCAAUUUCAUCCGGAAAUCCAUAAUCAUAUCUGCACGGCUCCCCCGUGUCCGAAUGCUCCCGCAUCCGCUGUACUUACGGCUUCACUUCACCGUACCUGCGGUUUCACACACCGCAUCAUGCCGCACUACCGGCAUCAUAGCUUCAAGUGCUAGAGAGCCAUACACAUAAGAUGAUCUUUUAACAUCAUAUGAUAAGAGCAUAACAGCAACUCUCAACCGCUGGCUUCACUUGCCAUGUUCGUUCAUCUGACUUCACUUGCCAGUCGUGGAUCCUUGCCAGUCCGUGACUUCACUCGCCACAUGUGACUUCACUCGCCACAUAGCAAACCACUCUCAGUGCACUUCACUCGUGCAGACAGUAGCAAAGCUUCACUCGCAUUUGCUCACACAAUCUCAGGUGCUUCACUCACACCCCGUGCUUCACUUGCACGUCUCAUACUGGUGCUUCACUCACACCGCGUGUCAUACUCGCACGCAUAUCGUACUCACGAUGCCUUACUCGCACCGACAUACUCACGAUGCUUUACUCGCACCGACAGCCCAACGUGGCCGUUCACAUCCCAUGCAGCACCGCAGCACUGUUCAUGUCUCAUGCAGCCCCUCCCGGGCGCUCACACAUCCCCGUAGUCUAUGCUCCACAGCAUAUUUUCUGCUCCUACGAACGCUACUAGGCGCGGACCCCCGGCCGCGCCCCCGGCCGUUUCCCUGGUCCUGGUUCACCGCCAUCAUGCGCCGGUCACUGCCGUCCCGGCCUACGCGUGCACCGCGCGCCUGGUUGCCACCGCCGCCCUCAGCGGCCUGCUCCGGGCACUCCCUCUGGAAAUGUCCCCAGCCCUGGCACCUGUGGCACUGGACGUUCUCUUUGCUGCGCCAACGCCGCCCUCUUAGCUAGGACCUCCACCAACUCUCCAUAGUGGAAUGGUCACGCAUGCUGAGGAUAAGGCUUGCUUCCUCGCCAUCCCGCGAGUACACACUCGACUCUCAACGAGUCCUUAGCAGCUUAUCACCGGUCAUUCUCCAAAGUGAGCGACCGACAAACUCCAGACGCGAUGCCGUCCGCAAAUUCCGGCCUCCUCGGCCGGUCACGCUGACUUUGCCUACAUUAUCCCGAGCCUAGUUGAGCAGCUCAAGGGAUCUUGCGAGCAUUUGCUGCGCCGCCUACUGGGCAGCCGCUUUCCUCGCUCAUUGCGCUCAAUGGCCUACAGCCUAUUGGUUAUCUUGUCUUUACUCGACAAAGCGCAACCCGCCGCAACUACGCGGGGCUCAUAACCUGUUGAAUGGUGAUUACGACUAUCGCUAGCCGGAAGUAGGGGCGGCUGACAGUCAGACUGUUUCGCACAUUAC
rnacentral:lncRNA from 1 species